rnacentral:lncRNA from 12 species
CUGAUAGAUACAACAGAGAUCAGCCUGCGGUAAGGCAGAAGACAGGGCUCUGGCAAGAGCAGAAGCAAACCGAGACAAAAUAAACACUCUCCCAUAUCCCUCAUCUCCUCUAUUGUAACUUAAUCAAGCUGCAGACAGUAUGUGUAUCUUUUUUUGGCAGUGUCUCUGUUCUAUAUCCGAGAGAGGCUGGGAUGUCAGGGGCCAGUCUCCUCUCUUUAUGAGGCCACGCUUCCACAGCCCUUCUGCACUCCGGCCCAACAGGACAGCUGCUCCACUCUCCCAAAUACAUCAUCCUGUCCACCAGCCUCUCCCAGGACAGCCUACUGUCCCCCCUCCUGCUCGCCUCGCUCUCUUUCUCCUAGCACAAGGGGGGGAAAGAGGGGGGCCAGAUGUGUAGACAGAGAGUCCUUGUCCAGCAGAGGUCAAUGGAUCUAACAGAGCUCCUUUCUGUAAGGAGCUGAAAGCCUUCUACUGCAGCUCUCCAUCUCGCCACUGUCAUGGGACACUUGCGCGGAACGCUGAGUCAACCUUUCGACAGGCUGCGAAACAGUUUAGAGCGGCGGAUGAAAUUAAGAUCACAACCUGCAUCCUCCCUCGCUUGUCUCAAGGUUUUAAGGGCGGUUAACGCCAGACCCCAGGUCCACCUCCCCUGCCAAGCAGUUCAUCCACACUCCUCAAUUCUGGAUGGGAAUGACACGUGUGCGCCAUUGCGAAAAAUGACAAAGACGUAUUCAUCUGGCAGUCCACACAAAACAGAAUAGUCCCACUUACCCUUCCAUUACUCCACUAAAAAGUGAUGUACCAGUCCAUUAAAACAACUCUGCAUCUUUGUUUUUCAGUCUCUCUCAUCCCUUCAUUUUAGCAAAGUGCACGUGAAGCAUCUGUGAACAAUGCUUUCUUGAGCUUGUAAAUGUCAUCAGUAAUGAUUUUUUUUUUUAGCGUUUCUCAGUGCACCUCAUAAACCACCCUCCAUCUCCCCUCCAGCCCCCCAUCCCUGCUGGUUGUCCUCGAAGAAGUUGAGCGUUACAUCCGCCAUCCAGAGAUUUUACAGUGGAUUCUUUAUCUGUAUAAACAAAGCAGGUAAUGGUGGCUGUUUAUUGUACAACGUGCCCCCAUGCUUACUUUUAUGUCCUUAUUGCUUGCAUACCAGUUGCCUUGUUUAUGUGUCUGUGUUCCCAGCCACUGCCCUUGAACUUAACCCCCGUCACCCCUGCCAGUUUCCCACCACCUUCUCCCAGCUCCAACCAUGACUCCUCCUUCACCGAAUCGCUCAACCCCCCUUUCUGUCAAGGACUGUGAAUGCUAGAGAUACAGAAAGAGGGAGAGAGCAGUGGUGCACCACAAUAUUUGAGAACCUCUGCGAACCAUAAGGUGAAGCUCCACCCAUAAGCAGUGACAUCAUGCAUAAGCAUUUGUAUCAGGGGGAAAUAAUAUCAAAGACGGACACAGACAGGUGAUAUUAUAGACAUAUAAAUAUUAUAGUGAGAGUGAUAUUAUAGACAUGGAUGGAAGCAAUUCUGCAAUUGAAACACUUUUUAAAAGUUUCCUCUGUAUCACUAGCUUCCUCAACACUGAGCUAUUCAUGCAGCUUUUUAUGCUGAGUAAACUCUCUUUAGAUAACCAUAAUAUAAUGGGCUCAGAACACUGUGAAGAGGCCCCCACGUAGACUUGGGGACUGUGGGGGUGUCCUGUACACCAAUGAGAGAUGAGCAUUUGAUGUCUUGGUGGUAAGAUGGUAAUUAAUACAAAGAUGAGGAGUCAUGUACUGAAUAUUCCAGUAGAGUGACAAGGCCACCGGUGACAAGCUUUCGCUCACAUGAAAAGAAAGAAAGAAUGAAAAGAAACAAGCAGGGAAAGGAGGGAGCAAGAAAGAGAGAGUGAAAAAGAAACAGAACAACGUGACAUCCCCCGUCCAGAGCUCGAGGAUUAACGAUGAAAAGAAACAAAAGGACAACAGUAAACAAAAGAGUAGAGGGUAAAGGGGGCUCCCCUGAUUUCUCUUCCCACUCAAGGAGGAAGACAGCAAACGAGAGAGGGGCUCCUCUUUUGGGACGGACACAUAUGGAUCUAUAUGCAUGCAUACAGUGGCCUGGUAUUGUGAAUCAAGCAGAGCUAAAUCAAUGUCAGAGCUCAAUCAAUAUUUAGUCCCCCUUGCUCUCCUGCACUUGGCUUCACCUUCCCCAUGCUAACAUCACCAGGAUUUUCACAUGUGGGUCAAUACACACCAACUAGCCACGACCGAGCAGUAAAUCUAUUAACCUGCCCGUGUUUUAGUGAGAAAGAGGAGGAAAAACUACCGAGAGGUAUAAACAAAGACAAGAAGAAUGAAUCCAGUUCAAACUGAGAGCAUGCAGGUGUUGAGUGUCAGUAAAUACUUAAGCUAUAGGGGAGUCUUUCAGUGAUGGUGUCAUAUGUUGGCGCCUAGAACAGGGACUCUGGACAAUGUCUGUGUCGGUGUUGAAAAGCAGCAGGUUUGAUUUGGUUUGGUCUGGGGGUUGCGUGCAUUUGGACGUGUGGUAUUAGGGAGUUGUUACCGCUUCCCUUUAAAGUUAUCUGUGCUUACCAGCGGCAUAUGGGUUGGCCUGUCUCUCCAGCCUUGGGCUGUAGACUCAACAACACUGCUUGUUAGUGACAUCUGCUGGGAAGAGCUGCCCCUCUUGUCCUUAGGCCCUUACUCAAGCGAGUCCAGCCCAUCAACACACCCUCAACUUCCCCCAACUUCCCACCCCAUAUGUACUUUUAUUACUGGGCAAUGUGUGCUCCUUCCCGCAUGAACAUAAUGACUUCUUCUCCUCGUUCCAUAACCUAUUCCCCUGUCCUGUCUCCAAUCCUCAUACCAGAGUAAGGUAGAAGUGUCUGCAUUCCUGGGACUUUUCCCUCCUGUCCUGUCCAAACCUGUCCAGAUUCAGAAACAGUGCAAAUGCAUGCUAAGUAUGUGAGAAGACUAACAUGAAAGAGAGUUUAUGCAAGAGUGCGUACAUGAGGGUGUUCUGUCGUACAGUAAUAUGCUAUUGUGCAAGGAAGGUUUUUUUUUUUUUUUUUUUUUUUUACACACGCUCACCACCUUGUUUGAUUUCCAUUGAAAUAUCUUUGGAAGCACAAAAACUGUGUGAACAGUUGUUUAAGAACCCUACUUGUCUGUGUAACAAACAAACUUGCGUGCAUUUCCAAACCAUUUCCACAAGUACCAAGGUGCGUUCAUCCUUCUAGCUUCUUAGCUUUGCCUUUUCACUACACCUCCCACUGGAUGCUGAAUAAAUUGUCAUUAUAUGAUAGCAGCCUGUCCUCUGCAGUCAUCUAAAAGGCAGCAGUCAUGUCACUCAAACUGUCAUUGCUAUUGUUUCAGGUCAUAAAAAUACAUGAAUCAAACUCAUCAUUCACCAAGACACAGGCAAACCUCAGCACUGACAUUCAUACAAGUGUAGCCUACUGGAGUAUACACUCUAUAAAUAUAAAAAAAAAAAAAUAUACAGAUGAAAGCACAGCAACAAAGUUUUUGUCCAGAGGAAAUGUAUGUAAACAUUGUGGUUGGUAUCCAUCCAUCCAAAAGUAAUAAGUACUGAUUUUUCACAAAUGUAAAACAAAAGACCAAGCACAAUUUUUUUUUUCUUGAAUUUCUAGCUUGCUGACUGCUAGU